ACUUUCAAAGGAGAACAGUUAUCUAAUGGUCUUAGGAUCCGAAUGUCU
rnacentral:tRNA from 1 species